UAUAAAAGAUAGUUAAUAAGAAAAAGUAGAAGAAGUAUAAAGGACUUAGUAGUGAUAACGAAAUUUUUUUUUACUAUAGAAAAUUAGUACAGUGAUGGAAAUUAUUGAAAAAUCAUUUUGAAAAAUUUUAUAAAAAGAUAGUACUUUUAGAAUAAGGUACCUUUUGUAUUAGUGAUUAUCAAAAUUAUGUUAAAAAACUUUUUCUCGAAAGUAAAAGAUCUAAUUAAUCUUGUUAGUUUUUGUGUCAAAAAAAUUAAGAAAGUUUAUUUAGGUGUGAAAUGUUAAUCGUUUUUACUAAUAUCUAGUAACUUCAGAAAAAAAUUUAGUUUAGGCUAUUAAGAAAUUCUUUAUUUUAAAGAAAUUUUUUUUUAUAGACUUAUAUUUUAGGGGAUGAGCUCUAAAAUAAAUUUAAAAGAAGAAAUCCAAGAAUAAGUUUUUUGUAGGCUUAGAAUUGGCCAUCAGAUAGUGUUAUAAGAUAAAAAUUUAAAUAUAAGAUUUAAUCUUCUUUAAAAAAUAUGAGGUUAAUAUAGAAAUAAAAUAAAUAUUGAAAAUAUGAUAGUAUAAGUAGAUAAAAUAAAUAAUGAAAUAAGUUUAAGUUUUUCAUAAAAUAGAAAAAUAAAACUUGCAAUAAAAGAACUCGGCAAAUAAGAUUUCCGAAUGUUUAACAAAAACAUUUCCUCUUGAGAAAAGGAGGUAAGACCUGCUCACUGAAAGUUAAAGAGCCGCAGUAUCCUGACUGUGCUAAGGUAGCAUAAUCAUUAGUCUUUUAAUUGGAGACUGGUAUGAAUGGUUAAACGAGAAAUCAGCUUUUUUUAUUGUAUAAAUUGAAUUUAAUUUUUUAGUGAAAAAGCUAAAAUUUUUCAGAAAGACGAGAAGACCCUAUAGAGUUUUAUAAUUUAGAAAAUUUUUUCUUAAUGGAUUUAUUUAGAUAAAAUUUUUUUGUAUUAUUUUGUUGGGGCGACAUUAAGAUAAAAAAAACUCUUUAUUUUAAAAACUUUAAUAAAAGAAUAAAUUGAUCCUUUAAAAAAGAUCAUAAGAAAAAAUUACCUUAGGGAUAACAGCGUAAUCUUUUUUGAGAGUUCUAAUCGACAAGAAGGUUUGCGACCUCGAUGUUGGACUAAAAUUUAGACAGGGUGCAGUAGUUCUGUUUUUAGGUCUGUCCGACCUAUAAUAUUUUACACGAUCUGAGUUCAGACCGGUGUAAGCCAGGUUGGUUUCUAUCUUCUGAUUUUGUUUUUCUAGCUUAGUACGAAAGGAUUAGUUAGUUGUAAAAAUUAUAAAUAAAGAAUAUUAUUAAAAUUUUUU
rnacentral:rRNA from 1 species